CCCUUAGAGUUUGAUCCUGGCUCAGAACGAACGCUGGCGGCGUGCUUAACACAUGCAAGUCGAACGCGAAAGCCUGGGCAACUGGGUGAGUAGAGUGGCGCACGGGUGAGUAAUACGUGAGUAACCUACCCUUCAGUGGGGAAUAACUCCUCGAAAGGGGAGCUAAUACCGCAUAAGACCACGAUCUCUCUAGCGAUUGAGGUCAAAGGUAGCCUCACUAGUCAAAGUUUUUACGUGGCUAUUUCCUUUGGAAAUAGAGACGUGAAAGCUUUGCCGAAAGAAGCUGCCGCUGAAGGAGGGGCUCGCGUCCCAUCAGCUAGUUGGUAGGGUAAUGGCCUACCAAGGCUACGACGGGUAGCUGGUCUAAGAGGACGACCAGCCACACGGGAAUCGAGAUACGGUCCCGACUCCUACGGGAGGCAGCAGUGGGGAAUCUUGGGCAAUGGGGGAAACCCUGACCCAGCGACGCCGUGUGGGGGAUGAAGGCCUUCGGGUUGUAAACCCCUGUUGGAUGGGACGAAUGCUCUUCUGUGAAUAACGGUAGAGUUUGACGGUACCAUCAGAGAAAGCCCCGGCUAACUCCGUGCCAGCAGCCGCGGUAAUACGGAGGGGGCGAGUGUUGUUCGGAAUUACUGGGCGUAAAGGGCGCGCAGGCGGCUUGGCAAGUCGAGUGUGAAAUCCCUUGGCUUAACUAAGGAAUGGCGCUCGAAACUACCUCGCUAGAGGGCGGGAGAGGGAAGUGGAACUCUCGGUGUAGGGGUGAAAUCUGUAGAUAUCGAGAGGACACGGGUGGCGA
rnacentral:rRNA from 1 species